rnacentral:rRNA from 1 species
AUUGAACGCUGGCGGCAUGCCUUACACAUGCAAGUCGAACGGCAGCACGGGGCAACCUGGUGGCGAGUGGCGAACGGGUGAGUAAUGCAUCGGAACGUGCCAUUGAGUGGGGGAUAACGUAGCGAAAGUUGCGCUAAUACCGCAUAUUCUGUGAGCAGGAAAGCAGGGGACCGCAAGGCCUUGCGCUCUUUGAGCGGCCGAUGUCAGAUUAGCUAGUUGGUGAGGUAACGGCUUACCAAGGCGACGAUCUGUAGCGGGUCUGAGAGGAUGAUCCGCCACACUGGGACUGAGACACGGCCCAGACUCCUACGGGAGGCAGCAGUGGGGGAAUUUUUGGACAAUGGGCGAAAGCCUGAUCCAGCCAUGCCGCGUGAGUGAAGAAGGCCU